rnacentral:lncRNA from 13 species
GAAGAACCCAGAGUUCUGGGACACACAUGUGCCAUGAAGUGUUCAGAUAGGGACUGCUUCUCUGGGGUCCACCCUCCAGGGUGAUGAUUUCUGGGCAACUCUGUUUCCCUGUUGGGUUUUUUUCAGUUUCUUUCUGUUUAAAAUAGGAAUAUCAAGCUUCACUUCCCUUGUGGAAUGCUUGACAGAGUGAUGAAAAUAUGCUAUUUGUUAUUGUGUCUGAUUGCUGAGAAGUGUGACUGUGCAUCGGAAGUGGAAACGUCCUGCCAUUUGCAAGCCAUGAGGAUUCAUUCCAUUUCAUAAUCACAAAGCAGGCUAUUCAGAUACUAUGGAAAACAUUCAUUUCCUGGAUAGCAGUCAAGUUUUUCGCAAAAUGCUUCCUGAGAAACCCAGUUCCCCUCAGGUAGAAACAACAUCGCCAACUGGAUGUCUAAAGGGGAAGAGGGGCAAAAGAGCAUGUCUCCAGAAUGCUGAUAUUGUCCAGAUUUUAUGUGAAGGUAAAGCAGAACACAAGGUAAUGUUAUUCUGUCCUCUCUUUGUUCUUCUAGGACUAUUUGUAACUUUUUUGGUUGGAAGUCUUUCAUGACAUGGGAUAGGUUCUCAAUCCAUCUGGCAUGUGCUUCUUGUAUCUUGGGCAGAAGUGCUUAAGGUGUCCCUUGGUUUUAGUCUUUGUUAUCCUGCAUCUCUCUUGUGGAAGGUAUUACCUUUCCUUCCCAUGUCCAGGGACUGUCUUGUUUUAUUUUGGUCUUUUGUAUCAAAAUAUGCGUUAUAUCAUCUAUUUUUAUCCUAGAAUUAGCAACUUAUUUCAUUAAUGUGUAUAAGACCUGCAGACAGGAUGUGAUUAAUGCUUGUUACCUCUCAUUAAUUUAUAUUAGAUACAUAUAUAUUAUAUCAGAAAACCAACCCUUUAAUUCUGAUCUCUCUUGAAAAUUCAAAGACAAUCUUGAUUACAUCUCAGCUACCAGUUAUUGAGCAAAUCAUGCCUACACUGGAACCAAUCCAAUUGCUUAGAUUGCUAGUCGCUUGCACAAACUAAACAGUGUGCCAGAUAGAGCAGCAUUUUAUGAAUGUACAAAAUGCUACAUAAAUAGAUCAGAGUUAAAUGGGUACGGGAGAUCAUUUUUUACUGACAGAUCAAUAGAUUCCUAAGUGCAUUUCUUAGUAUGAAAUACCAUUUUGCUGAGAGCUUUGUUGUCCUGGCAGUGUCUGAUACACAGUGAGGGACAUUCUUUGUAUUAUCAUAGUCAAUUUCAGCUCCUGGUAUUUUUGUUUCUGACUCUCUCCAACUACACUCUUCUGUGUGUUUGCUACCAAUGUUUCUCUAUGCUACUUGCAGAUUCAAUUUUAUUUUUUUCCUCUGAAUUCUUAUUUCUUAGUGCUUGGUUAAUGUCUCACAAAGUUUCUGAAAACAGUUAGUUAGGUGUUAGGAAAUGUACUAAAACCCAUCCCAGCAGCUGAAUGACACCUAGGUUAGAUAUUUGCAAGCUCCCUUAUUAAUUUUCACUGUGAAACUGUUAAGGUACUGACCAAAUAUUUUAU